ACUCAAAUGAAUUGACGGGGGCCCGCACAAGCGGUGGAGCAUGUGGUUCAAUUCGACGCAACGCGAAGAACCUUACCAGCCCUUGACAUGGGGAGUGUGGGUCGCAGAGACGCGAUCCUUCAGUUCGGCUGGCUCCCACACAGGUGCUGCAUGGCUGUCGUCAGCUCGUGUCGUGAGAUGUUGGGUUAAGUCCCGCAACGAGCGCAACCCUCAUCUUCAGUUGCCAUCGGUCUGGCCGGGCACUCUGAAGAAACCGCCGGUGACAAGCCGGAGGAAGGCGGGGAUGACGUCAAGUCCUCAUGGCCCUUACGGGCUGGGCUACACACGUGCUACAAUGGCGGUGACAAUGGGACGCAAAGGGGCAACCCCGUGCCAAUCCCAAAAAGCCGUCUCAGUUCGGAUUGCACUCUGCAACUCGAGUGCAUGAAGUCGGAAUCGCUAGUAAUCGCGGAUCAGCACGCCGCGGUGAAUACGUUCCCGGGCCUUGCACACACCGCCCGU
rnacentral:rRNA from 1 species